rnacentral:rRNA from 1 species
UACGGAGGGUGCAAGCGUUAUCCGGAUUCACUGGGUUUAAAGGGUGCGUAGGCGGGCAUUUAAGUCAGUGGUGAAAUACCUGAGCUUAACUUGGGAACUGCCAUUGAUACUAUUUGUCUUGAAUGUCGUGGAGGUUAGCGGAAUAUGUCAUGUAGCGGUGAAAUGCUUAGAUAUGACAUAGAACACCAAUUGCGAAGGCAGCUUACUACAUAGUUAUUGACACUGAGGCACGAAAGCGUGGGGAUCAAACAGG